rnacentral:lncRNA from 1 species
UGAAAGGCACGGGCCUAAGCCUAAUAGUUUAUAGCUGCUUUCUCGUGAGAGUAGUGAUAUAAGCCUUAUUAGCUGCGGGUUCAGUCUCAUCAGUAGUUGUGGGGUUCCCUCCUUUGAGUUCGAGGUCCAGUAAAGAGAUGAUCUUCUAUAUUCAACAAGAACAGGAAAAGAACUAUUCGAAACUGACUAUAAGGGCCUAGACUCAACUAGCUCUAGCUCAUGACCUAUCCUUUCAUACCCGCUUGCUACUGACUUUCUAACAGCUCCUUCUCUUUCCACUGAGUAUGGGCCGAGAAGUCAAACAAUCAUUGAUUCUCUCUCUUGCUAAGAGGACCGAGUAAAACAGACAAGUCACUACUGGACAAGUAAAGGAACAGGAACAGAGGCUCAAGUAAGGUUCGCAGCUGAAUGGGCUGAUUUAUCUGUUUCUAUUCUCAAUGAGGAGUGCUUUAUAAAGUGUGUCUAAAGAGUGGGUGAGGAGUGCUUAUUUGAGUUUCAAGAGUGGGAAUGGAGCUCGGCAUAUAAGAACAGUUCCCGCUGUCAGUUAUCUAUUCUCUGCUCUCUAGAUAGGUAAGAGAGUCAUAGUGUCUGCUGAUCUCCUUGACCUCAAACAUAGACCAGCCCAUCAUGCCAAACAAGCUAUUGACUCGUAAAAACAUCUCUCUCUGACUGGACCCUAAAACAUAUGUUACAGGGCGGAGCUCUUAUUGGUUAAAGUGCUACUCCUCCCAUCUUUUCUGCUUCAAGAGAUAUCUUCUAUCUUGAGAUCCUGCGCCAACUCAUUCCCUUCCCGCAACUGAACAAGUAUACCCGCUGACGACUUAAAGGCAACACUUCUCUGACUCUUAAUUAUAUUACAUUUGCAGAUGAUCUCUAUGACUUAGAGCGGAAGCACCAACACUCGAACCCGACCUAUCCUUUAAGUUCAGAACCGACUUAACCCAUUAACGGAAUUGCUGAUGCUCCUUAUCCAGCUUGAACACUUGAUUGACCAGAUUGAGAGUAGACAACAAACAACAAACAAGGAUUUGACAAAUUGACUUAAGGGGCUGGAACUGGCACCACUACAAGGGAAAGCCGAUAACCAACCUCCCCAUACGUAAACAAGGGAAGGGCGCAAGUCCUUGAAGCACUAUCAAAGGGAAGAGCCUAUUACAGAUACAGAAGCACUAACAAAGGUAAAGCAAAGAACUGAUCUCUAAGAUUUCAUAAGAUAUAAGAUAGUAUGCCCCGGCAAGUAAGAUAGGUAGCCCUCAAACACUUUAAGUAAGUAAGAUAGUCUGCCCCGCCCUCUAGGCCUUAGAAACAUAAUCAAAUCAAUAUCAAUUAAUUAUAUCUUAAUAAAGGAACUCGCCCUCACUUAUUAAGGCAGCUUGGUCAGUGGAAAACAUUCCCUACUAUAUUCUAUAUUAUCUUAUAUUAGGAUUAGGAUGAAAUUGAUGAUUACACUCGGGAAAGACUUUCACUCCCACUACUCGGCACCAACACUCGAGACCUUACCCCCAACAGCAAAUCUCUCUCCUCCCUCUCGCCAACAAACAUAGAUGAACCUGGGGAUCGGGAUUCUUUUCUCACUCUCACUGGAACACCUGAUAGAGAGUCGACAACCUCAACUCACACUGCAGCUGACAGGGUAAACAGGCAAUUCCAUUCUUUUAGAAAGUACCGGCUCUGGCUCAUCUCUUCUCUCCAUACCAUACAGAGCUAGAUCAGAUACAACAAAAAGUAAAGGUGAGGAAGCUUAAAGUACUAUUGAUCCUGGGUUAAGUAAAGGCUUUGAGGCGGUAAGGAAAUCCAGAAUAGGAAUGAAAAAACUUAUAUAAUAUAGCUAUUGCAUGGUAUGGGAAGCAAAGGGGGUGGUGGAUAGGUGAGGAAACCUGAUUAUUGAUUCUUUUCGCCCUGCUUGAACGCAUGAUUGAGAGUUGCGUGUACUCUUUUUGACCCUUCAUUAGUUGUUGCCUUACUUAUAACGGGAUAAUUGCCAGGCCAGUGCUUUAGUUGGCUCUUUCUUGUAGCGUCGGUAGAGGCAGGUGCUUCUUCAGUAAGGUGUCGUAGAGUAUAUGAGGCUUUUACCCUGCCGUUGCUUGCUCCCUUGCUCGUUGUAAAUACACUGCUUCCCGACAAUUACUAUAAGGGCCUCGACUCAGGUAUUGAAGUUAUGAAUUUCAUUAGUGUCAUAUUGAUCAUUGCUUCAAACAAGCACAAUCACCUCUUUCGUCACCAACUACUGAUCCAACUCUAUCUGCUUACUUUGGCACUGCUUCCUCACCUGUUCUUUGAACUUCCACUGCCCUCACACUUUCACUACUGACUUGCCCUUACUUGAGAGCACACUGCCGCGCAACACGAACAUGGGCUGCCGACCCACCCUCUGGUAUUGAAGUUUCGAAUUGCAUUUCAUUUGAAGACAUAGCUUCUCUGGGAUAAGUGUUUGUUAGUACGUUGCCAUGAGAAAGUCCUGGCUUAAUAAGGGAGAUUGAGAGGCUGUCGCAAGUGUUUCUGAUCCUUCUUCUGUAGAGAUUAGAUGCUAUGAUAGCUCUUCAAACGUAUCCGACCCGAACUCGUACCCGUAGCUGCCGAACACAGGUUCACUCUUUUUCACCGAUACCUGAAAUAGGGGUUUUCUUAAUCUUAAUGCCUACGAAACUCUGGAUUCCACUCGAACAGCAGCUUACUUGAGAAUAGAAGUUAGCAGAGAUGAGCC